GGCGUCGCUGGCGUCGAGCCGGCGACGUAUCGUCGACUCGAGCGUGUCGUGUGCCGUCGUCGUCGUCGUCGUUGUCGUUGUCGUUGUCGUUGUCGUCGUCGUCGUCGUCAUCUUAAUCGUCGUCUCUUCGGGAUUAGUGCGUGUCUUUCGUUUUAGAUCUAACAACGAUCCUUUCGUCAAACGAGAUAGAAGGAGAAAGAGAGAGAGAGAGAGAGAGAGAGAGAGAGAGCGAGCGAGCGAGCGAGCGAGAGAGAGAGAGAGAAGCUCGCUAAGCUUUCCAAGUCUCUUUUCUUUUUGCGGCAUUUCUUUCUCUGCCCGCCACCAAAAGUACUUCCUUUUGAAAGAGAAAGAGAGGGAGAGGGAGAGAGACAGACUGAGAGAGAGAGAGAGAGAGAGAGAGAGAGAGAGAGAGGAAGAGAAAGACGUACAUAUUCGUAGGGUGCACUGGCCGACAGAGAGAUAAGUAAAGGGACGUUGACGUGUGCGUCGGAGAGAACUAGAGAUAGAGAUAAGAAAAGAAUGGAUUUACGAAGAAACACGGGCCGCGUACGAUAAUACUACCUCGACAUAGUUCUGCAAUCCGCCCUCGUGCGCGUCCACGGCGGAUCCGGAAGGAGGCGCGCUCGAAGGGAAAGAAUAGGGAGAGGUAAAUUCGCGCACCAUUAACGAGCCUCUCUUCCCGGAAACGAUCGAGCUCGCGCGCCAACCGAUUUAGGAUCAUACCGGCCGACCGAUCGACCGACCGACCGACCGACCGACCGACCGACCGACCGACCGACCGACCGACCGACCGACCAACAGACCGACAGAUCGACAGACCAAACGACCGAAAGAACAAGAGGAGUGAACACGGUGCGAUAAACUACCCUGUAGUGCCGCGAACACGUCCAACUUCCAAGUUGUCUUCGUCGCCACCUCUUCUCUCGUUUCUCUUUUCACGCGUGUAUAUACAUAUAUAUAUAUAUAUAUAUAUAUAUACACACAUACAUACAUACAUAUAUAUUUAUAUAUAUAUAUAUGUAUACGCGUACUGCUCACGUAUACGUUGGUACAUAUAUAUAAAUAUAAUCGAACGUACCCAGAUAUCUAUUUAUAAGUUUACACGAGAGAGCAAGAACAAGAGAUAGAUAGAGAGUAGCGACGACGAUCGUGACGUUGCUCGCUACUGGUGCUAGUGCUACGUUAUCUUUGGCGUGCCGUUUGUGAUGAUGAUGAUGAUGAUGGUGGUGUUGGUGAUGACGAUGGUGGUGCGUCCUUAAGAAGAAAGAAUUCGUCGGUGCGAGAGCUUACGUGAAACACGAGAAAAAGUAGAAAAGAAGGCAAGUCCCGGUUACACGCUCGAACCGCCUUUAUUUUUCUUCGACGACGCUCUUUCUUCUCGCGAGAGAAAAACGAAGAAGAUAAAAAGUCAUCUUCUAUCCUAGUACUAGAAGAGAGGACGCGAAUCGAGCGCGAACGACAUCGCGUUUAAGACGGAUAUGAGGAGCGGAUACGCCCGGCUCACGUGAUACACACACGAUCGUCUCUAUCACCGACGGUUCUCUCUUCCAAAGAUAUGCGGUCAGGGAGGAAGGUUCGUAGGAGCCCAGUGCCGUAGCAUGCCGGCGUGCUGGGUGAGCCGUUGGUGCGCCAUUGAGUCCGCCGUGGUGGUAAGACAGUAUCUCGAGGAGGGUACUCGAAGCAGUAGCAGCAGGAGCAGGAGGAGGAGGAGAAGAAGAAGAAGAAGAAGGAGCGAUCUCGGCUGGAGAAGCAGCACGGAGCUCGACACUACCGACCGAUGAGCGCGGGGGGGGAUGGGGGCUCGGCGUUGGCUCCGUCAGGGCUGCCGGGCUCCCAGCCGAUGGCCGCGACCCCCUCGACCGCGACCCCCCCCGUCACCGGGCAGCACCAGCAGAUCGGACUAUCGGCCGUCGUCGAUCCUCAUCAGGCCCAUUCACAGACGGGCCCUGCCGGUCCCACUGGUCCUUCUACCGGCGCUCCGGCCGGUGCUGCUCCCAAGGCCGCGACCAAGAGGCCCGCCCGCCGUGCUGGCAAACCGCCACCCGACAGGCCUAUCAGGGCUCUCUUUUGCCUGCCCCUCCAAAAUCCCAUAAGAAAGCUCUGCAUCGGCGUCGUCGAGUGGAAACCCUUCGAAUGGCUCAUCUUAAUGACGAUAUUUGCAAAUUGCAUCGCCUUGGCCUUCUACACGCCGUAUCCGUUCGGUGAUUCUAAUCAGACCAACCAGUAUUUGGAAAAGAUAGAAUACGUAUUUCUCGUCAUUUUUACGGCCGAGUGCAUAAUGAAGAUCAUAGCCUACGGAUUCGUCGCCCAUCCGGGCGCUUAUCUGCGCAACGGCUGGAACGUGCUGGACUUUACGAUAGUCGUCAUAGGAAUGAUGAGCACGGUAUUGGCGAUGCUCAUGAAAGAAGGAUUCGACGUUAAGGCGUUGAGGGCUUUUCGAGUGUUACGACCUCUCAGGCUGGUUUCCGGUGUACCAAGUCUUCAGGUGGUCCUAAACUCCAUUUUAAGAGCGAUGAUACCGCUUUUGCACAUUGCCUUGUUGGUUCUCUUCGUCAUCAUCAUCUACGCUAUCAUCGGCCUCGAGCUCUUUUCCGGGAAGAUGCACAAGACGUGUAGACACAACGUGACUGAUGAACUAAUGAGCGAUCCCGUUCCCUGUGGUCCUAUGGGUUUUCAGUGCAGUACCCUCGGACCCGAUUUCUACUGCAGCAAUCAAUUUUGGGAAGGUCCGAACGAUGGCAUCACGAACUUCGAUAAUUUUGGUUUGGCCAUGCUCACAGUCUUUCAAUGCAUCACCCUAGAGGGUUGGACCGAAGUACUUUACAACAUAGAAGAUGCGAUGGGAAGUUCUUGGCAAUGGAUUUAUUUUAUUUCCAUGGUUAUACUCGGAGCCUUCUUCGUGAUGAAUCUAAUUCUCGGUGUGUUGUCUGGUGAGUUCUCAAAGGAAAGAGAGAAGGCAAAGGCUCGGGGUGACUUUCACAAGCUCAGGGAGAAACAACAAAUCGAGGACGAUCUCAGAGGAUAUCUCGAUUGGAUAACGCAAGCCGAGGAUAUCGAGCCGGAAGCCGACGAGCCCAAAGCACAAGAUGGAAAGUCGAAACAACAAAACGAAAUGGAGAGCACGGAUCAAUUGGAGGGCGACGAGGAAGGGAUCCAACAGGAACCCGUUUGGAAGAGAAAGAAGAGAGAUUUAGACAGGGUGAAUCGACGAUUGCGACGAGCCUGUAGAAAAGCCGUGAAAUCGCAGGCCUUUUAUUGGCUCAUCAUAGUGCUCGUUUUUUUAAACACCGUAGUUCUCGCGACCGAGCAUUACAAUCAACCGCAUUGGUUGGACGAUUUUCAAGAGAUCACCAAUAUGUUUUUCAUCGCUCUCUUCUCCAUGGAGAUGAUACUGAAGAUGUACAGUUUAGGGUUUCAGGGUUACUUCGUCUCUUUGUUCAAUCGUUUCGAUUGUUUCGUCGUGAUCGGCUCGAUAACCGAGAUGAUCCUUACGAACACGAACGUAAUGCCGCCUCUCGGAGUUUCCGUGCUCCGUUGCGUCAGACUAUUGAGAGUAUUCAAAGUAACAAAAUAUUGGAGAUCACUCUCCAACUUGGUGGCUUCUUUGUUGAAUUCGAUUCAAUCGAUCGCCUCUCUCUUACUUUUGCUCUUCCUCUUCAUCGUAAUUUUUGCACUCUUAGGAAUGCAGGUUUUCGGUGGAAAGUUUAAUUUCGCCGAUCUCCAGGACAAACCAAGGCACAAUUUUGAUAGUUUUUGGCAAAGCUUACUCACCGUCUUUCAGAUAUUAACCGGUGAGGACUGGAAUGCGGUAAUGUACGUUGGAAUUCGAGCUUACGGGGGCGUUUCUAGUCCCGGCGUUAUAGCCUGCACUUACUUCAUUGUUCUCUUCAUAUGCGGUAACUAUAUCCUCCUGAACGUCUUCUUGGCCAUCGCAGUUGACAAUCUCGCAGAUGCGGAAUCGUUAACGGCCAUUGAGAAGGAGGCUGAAGAGGAGGCGGAGAAGAACAAAUCUCACAGUGGGUCGCCGGCGAGAGAUGAGAUCAGCGGUGAAGGUGGAGAUGGCGGAGAAACUGGCGGCGAAGACGAGGGUGGUGCUACGGAUAUGGAGCACGAUCCUAAUGAGACAAUGGAGGAUUACGAGGCUGCUUUGGACACUGAAACAUCGGAGAAGAGCGACGACGGGAACACGCACAAAGUUCGUUUAAAUAUCGAAAUAUCGGACGAGGAAGCGGAGGAGGAAGAGGCCGAGCAGAACGAGAUACAUGAAGAAGGACAAGAAGUAUCGGCCAGGCCACGAAGAAUGUCCGAAUACAACACGGCUACGAAAAAGCAACCCAUCCCACCGGGUUCCUCCUUUUUUAUUUUUUCUCAAAACAACAGAUUUCGAGUAUUUUGUCAUUGGCUUUGUAAUCACAGCUACUUCGGUAAUGUGAUAUUAGCCUGCAUCAUGAUAUCGUCGGCCAUGUUGGCUGCCGAGGAUCCAUUAAGUUCUUCUUCAUACAGAAAUCAGAUCCUGAAUUACUUCGAUUAUUUCUUUACUAGCGUUUUCACGAUCGAGAUCUGCCUGAAGAUGAUAUCGUACGGAUUUGUUAUUCACGACGGUGCUUUCUGCCGAUCGGCCUUCAAUCUACUCGACCUUCUUGUCGUCUGCGUAUCCCUCGUUUCUAUAGUCUGGAGUUCUGGCGCUAUAUCGGUGGUGAAGAUACUCAGGGUGUUGCGCGUUCUCAGACCGUUGCGCGCCAUCAACCGUGCCAAGGGAUUAAAGCACGUAGUACAAUGCGUCAUCGUAGCGGUAAAGACUAUCGGAAACAUAGUCCUCGUCACCAGCCUCCUGCAGUUCGUGUUCGCCGUCAUAGGCGUACAACUUUUCAAGGGCAAGUUUUUCUAUUGUACCGAUGCAUCGAAAAUGACGAAGGAAGAAUGCCAGGGUACUUAUCUGGAAUUCGAGAAUGGCAAUAUCAAUAGACCUGUCGUUAGAGAAAGAGAGUGGGAGCAACGUCGUUUCCACUUUGAUGAUGUUGCCAAGGCGAUGCUGACCCUCUUUACGGUUUCAACAUUCGAAGGUUGGCCAGGCCUUUUGAAUUGGUCGAUCGAUUCGAACAAGGAAGAUCACGGACCGAUUCACAACUUUCGGCCGAUCGUGGCCGCCUACUACAUCAUCUACAUCAUCAUCAUAGCAUUUUUCAUGGUCAACAUCUUCGUGGGUUUCGUCAUUGUCACCUUUCAGAACGAGGGUGAACAGGAGUACAAAAAUUGCGAGCUCGAUAAGAAUCAGCGGAACUGUAUCGAGUUCGCGUUGAAAGCGAAACCCGUUCGACGAUAUAUACCGAAGCACCGAAUACAAUACAAAGUUUGGUGGUUCGUCACUUCUCAACCGUUUGAAUAUACGAUAUUCACAUUGAUCAUGAUAAAUACCGUCACCCUUGCGAUGAAGUUCUAUCAGCAACCAACGCUAUACACCGAAGUUCUCGACGUCCUCAAUAUGAUUUUCACCGCAGUGUUCGCCCUCGAGUUCGUCUUCAAACUCGCAGCUUUUCGAUUCAAGAAUUACUUUGGCGAUGCCUGGAACGUAUUUGACUUCAUUAUCGUUCUCGGAAGUUUCAUCGACAUCGUAUACUCGGAAGUUAACCCCGGCUCGACCAUCAUUUCUAUUAAUUUCUUUCGACUAUUUCGAGUGAUGCGCCUCGUUAAACUGUUGAGCAGAGGAGAGGGCAUAAGAACGCUUCUUUGGACCUUUAUUAAAUCCUUCCAGGCUCUACCCUACGUAGCCCUUCUUAUAAUAAUGCUUUUUUUCAUUUACGCGGUAAUAGGCAUGCAGGUAUUCGGAAAGAUCGCGAUAGACGACGAAACGUCUAUAUAUCGUAACAACAACUUUCAAUCGUUUCCCCAAGCAGUCCUCGUAUUAUUCAGAUCUGCGACGGGUGAAUCUUGGCAAGAGAUCAUGAUGGACUGUUCCGCUCAACCGAGCAAAGUAAAGUGCGAUCCAAACAGCGACGAAUAUAACAAUCCAUCCGGUUGCGGAUCGGACAUAGCAUUUCCUUACUUCAUAUCAUUCUACGUUCUCUGUUCCUUUCUGAUAAUCAAUCUAUUCGUUGCCGUCAUUAUGGACAACUUUGAUUACUUGACGAGAGACUGGUCGAUAUUGGGACCGCAUCAUUUGGACGAGUUUAUUCGUUUAUGGUCCGAAUACGAUCCCGACGCGAAAGGUCGUAUCAAGCAUCUCGACGUUGUAACGCUCCUACGAAAAAUAUCACCACCCUUGGGUUUCGGUAAACUAUGUCCGCACAGGGUCGCCUGCAAGAGGCUGGUGUCGAUGAACAUGCCGUUGAACAGCGACGGCACGGUCCUUUUUAAUGCGACCCUAUUCGCCGUUGUAAGAACAUCACUGAGGAUUAAAACGGAAGGAAACAUCGACGAUGCUAACGCCGAACUUAGAGCCGUGAUUAAGAAGAUUUGGAAGAGAACCAGUCCAAAACUUUUAGACCAAGUCGUACCACCGCCAGGAGUCGACGACGAGGUAACGGUCGGCAAGUUUUACGCGACUUUCCUCAUCCAGGAUUACUUUCGUAGAUUCAAGAAACGCAAAGAACAGGAAAUGAGAGAGGGUGACAAGGAAUGUCAUAAUACGGUAACGCUACAGGCUGGCUUGAGAACUUUGCACGAAGCAGGUCCCGAAUUGAAGAGAGCGAUUUCUGGUAAUUUGGAAGAGCUUAUGGACGACAAUCCGGAACCUACGCACAGGAGAAAUCAUUCGCUCUUUGGUAGCGUCUGGUCAAGCAUGCGUAAAGGACAUCACAGCUUCCAUAGAGCGAGAUCGCUCAAAGUGAACUCCAAGGCUUCCCCCACAAAUUCCAUAGACUUUCUGUCGUAUUCCUCUUUGCAGAGGGGCGUCGGAUCAGACGCUCCUAAUCAAAUCACCGCAAGAUCUCAUCAAGUCGUGCCAAACGUAGCCGGUGGUCUAAGCGACAGUGCGAUGAACCAAAUGGGAAUGGACCCGAGAUUAACUGGCGUCGAAGAAAAUAUUCCCUUGAGACCUCUCGCCGUCUUUGGCAAUACUACGCAACGUUCAGCCUAUCAUAGCUCUUACAAAAUGGUCGGUGGACCGGGUAGCGGUAACUAUCUUCAUCCCAAUAGCGAAUAUGUUCCAUCCUGGGCCGGGGAGAGCAACGGAAGCGUCGGAGCCGAACGGCUUUCUCAUAGUUUGCCUGGUAGUCCUGCCGAUCGAAAGCCGAACUUCGAAGUGAUCGGAAGCGCCGAGAGUUUGGUCGGACGGGUGCUCGUUGAACAGGGACUGGGCAAGUAUUGCGACCCAGAUUUCGUGAGGUAUACGUCUCGCGAGAUGCAGGAGGCUUUGGACAUGACGCGAGAGGAGAUGGAUCGAGCGGCUCAUCAGUUGCUUUUGCAAGAGCGACGCAGUCAAUCGUUCAGGUAUCACCAACAGCAACCACAGCAGCAACUACAGCAGCCACAACAGCAGCAACAGCCUGACAUGGACCAACAGUGGAAUCCCGCGUAUCAGCAGACGAUCGGAAUAGGUUAUCAGCCCUUGCAGGAGCAACCACCGAGUGGUACGCAGCGAACGUUCCAUCAUCAGCCGAGUUACCAUCGUCAAGGACAACAGCAGCAACCACCCUCUUAGCAGCAGGAAGACGAUCGCUCGGUCAAGAGAAUUCCGUCUAUGUAGCCUCGAGUUUGAAAACUCCUUUCAGACCGGUCCAAGUCGCGAGCCGUUCGAUCUUCCUCCGAUCGAGAGAGAAAGAGAGAGAGAGAGAGAGAGAGAGAGAGAGAGAGAGACACUUUUCACAGAUCAUUUCACACUCGUACAAGACGCGACCGUUGUGUACCACACUACCCAAAAAUGCCCCUUUUCUACUUUCCGAAUAUUUUUAUCGAUCGAUCGACGAGAAUCCACUUUUCUUCGGAUUUCGACGGCACGUUCGAUUUUCGAGGAAGCAUAGAAUGACGGAUCGCGCGUUAGGUUCCAAUGAUGUCGCAAUGCGUAAGAGAAAAAGUAAAAUAAACGGUGCAACGAGUAUUCUAUUGCACACGAACAGCAUGAAUUCGAACGAAAUGAGAAACAAAAACUACAACGAUUUCUAUGCUGCGCACACGCGUGUAUGUAGGUCCAACAAGCGAGGCACCAGCAUGUACAUUGGCAGGAAUUCAAUAAUAUCUAACAUUCAUUCUCAUCUUACGAUUCGUAUCAACUGAAAUUCCUACAAUGGAAAAUUGGAAAUGACAUAGAAAAUGGUCAUAAUUAAUUAACGAAUAAGUUACAAAGAAAUUCAUCUUAAGGAGAGUUAAUAUUAUUUCAUGACUUGUGCUGCUUUUUUCGCUUUGACGAGCUCCACGAGUUCCUAUGGAAAGAGAAAAAAAGAGAGGAGAGAAAAAAAAAAGAAACGAAAAUACAAGAUAUUGUUGAUUAAA